AGGGAGCCUGAGAAACGGCUACCACANNNNNNGAAGGCAGCAGGCGCGCAAAUUACCCAAUCCCGACACGGGGAGGUAGUGACAAUAAAUAACAAUACGGGGCUCUUUCGGGUCUCGUAAUUGGAAUGAGUACAAUUUAAAUCCCUUAACGAGGAACAAUUGGAGGGCAAGUCUGGUGCCAGCAGCCGCGGUAAUUCCAGCUCCAAUAGCGUAUANNNAAGUUGUUGCAGUUAAAAAGCUCGUAGUUGAAUUUCGGGGUUAGUAGGUUGGUCAUGCCUCUGGUAUGUACUGGUCUCACUGAUUCCUCCUUCCUUAUGAACCGUAAUGCCAUUAAUUUGGUGUUGCGGGGAAUUUGGACUGUUACUUUGAAAAAAUUAGAGUGUUUAAAGCAAGCUAACGCUUGAAUACAUUAGCAUGGAAUAAUGAAAUAGGACGUUCGAUCUUAUUUUGUUGGUUUCUAGGAUUGACGUAAUGAUUAAUAGGGAUAGUUGGGGGCAUUAGUAUUCAAUUGUCAGAGGUGAAAUUCUUGGAUUUAUUGAAGACUAACUACUGCGAAAGCAUUUGCCAAGGAUGUUUUCAUUAAUCAAGAACGAAAGUUAGGGGAUCGAAGACGAUCAGAUACCGUCGUAGUCUUAACCAUAAACUAUGCCGACUAGGGAUCGGAUGAUGUUAAUUUUUUAAUGACUCAUUCGGCGCCUUACGGGAAAC
rnacentral:rRNA from 1 species